GGGCGACUGAAGCGGGAAUAGCCCAGGAUGUGAAUCUGCGCUUUGCGCCGAAUUGUGGUCUGUAGACGAAAGUGUUACCAGCCGGGCCAAGUCCCUUGGAAAAGGGCAGCUGAGAGGGUGAGACUCCCGUCCGCCUGGCAGGAUGAGCUUUCUGUCGACGAGUCGAGUUGUUUGGGAUUGCAGCUCAAAGUGGGUGGUAAAUUCCAUCUAAGGCUAAAUAUUGGUGGGAGACCGAUAGCGUACAAGUACCGUGAGGGAAAGAUGCAAAGAACUUUGAAAAGAGAGUUAAAGAGUACCUGAAACUGCUGAAAGGGAAGCGAAGGAAACCAGUGUUUGCUCGGUCAUAUUUCCCUGGCCGCUUGCGGCUUGGGCGCUGUGUCUGGCUUGCGUUGUGGUUGGUUGGAUCCUUUGGAAGAGCGCAGUGGGAGUUGACCUCUGUUGCUAGCACUGGAUCCGACUGAUGACGACCAAAUGGUUUUCUUUCCCCCGUCUUGAAACACGGACCAAGGAGUCUAACAUAUGUGCGAGUACAGGGGUGGCAAACCCCCGUGCGUAAUGAAAGUGACAGUGGUUGGAUAUUUUGCACAAUCCGCCGGCCUCAAUCCUUCGGGAGAACGGUCUGAGUGUGAGCAUACAUGUUGGGACCCGAAAGAUGGUGAACUAUGCCUGAAUAGGGUGAAGCCAGGGGAAACUCUGGUGGAGGCUCGUAGCGAUUCUGAC
rnacentral:rRNA from 2 species